rnacentral:rRNA from 1 species
UAGGGAAUCUUCCACAAUGGACGCAAGUCUGAUGGAGCAACGCCGCGUGAGUGAAGAAGGUUUUCGGACCGUAAAGCUCUGUUGUUGGUGAAGAAGGAUAGAGGUAGUAACUGGCCUUUAUUUGACGGUAAUCAACCAGAAAGUCACGGCUAACUACGUGCCAGCAGCCGCGGUAAUACGUAGGUGGCAAGCGUUGUCCGGAUUUAUUGGGCGUAAAGCGAGCGCAGGCGGAAGAAUAAGUCUGAUGUGAAAGCCCUCGGCUUAACCGAGGAAUUGCAUCGGAAACUGUUUUCUUGAGUGCAGAAGAGGAGAGUAGAACUCCAUGUGUAGCGGUGGAAUGCGUAGAUAUAUGGAAGAAUACCAGUGGCGAAGGCGGCUCUCUGGUCUGCAACUGACGCUGAGGCUCGAAGCAUGGGUAGCGAACAGGAUUAGAUACCCUGGUAGUCCAUGCCGUAAACGAUGAGUGCUAAGUGUUGGGAGGCUUCCGCCUCUCAGUGCUGCAGCUAACGCAUUAAGCACUCCGCCUGGGGGAGUACGACCGCA